CAAAUAACAUGUGGAGACCUGAUUGGCAACACCAGGUACAAUUUGGUAAUAUUCUCUGGAAAUGAUCCAACUCUAUAACGACAAUAUUUACUCUCUUUAGUUCUCUGGAAGUGACCUGGAUUUCAAUAACUGUAAUAAGCCAAGAACCAGCCCCCCUUUCUCUCAUCCAGCGUGUCUCAAUCCUAUAAAAGCAGAACUAUCCCUCCACUCUGUACUACAACACCUGUUCACUAUUACCUUCAAGAGCUCCACUGCACCAAGGAAGAACACAGACACAGCAGUAAUGGAUAGGUGUAUACCACACUGUGGGGACAAAAACAAAGGUAGUUCCAUUGGCAACGUACAUGGAGGUGGAGGCAAUGCGAACAUUGGCAAUGCAUCAGGAGGUGGAGGAAGUCACAUUGGCAACGUACACGGUGGUGGAGGCAAUGCGAACAUUGGCAAUGCAUCAGGAGGUGGAGGAAGUCACAUUGGCGACGUACACGGUGGUGGAGGCAACACCAACAUUGGCAAUGUAUCAGGAGGUGGAGGAAGUCACAUUGGCGACGUACACGGUGGUGGAGGCAACAAGGACAUUGGCAAUGUAUCAGGAGGUGGAGGAAGUCACAUUGGCAACAUAGAUGGGGGUGGAGGCAACACCGGCAUUGGCAACGUUGGAAAAUAAUCUGGAUGCCAUUAGGGCCGCUUCACCAAAAGCCUGUCAACAUCCCUGCUCACUCUGGGUUGAAGAUUAUGAAAACUGGGUGCAUAUUCAUGUUCUUAGUUCUAUCAGAUUCACUCUAGGAGUAUGGUUUUAAUCAGCAUUGUAACCGUUCUUGUUUU
ensembl:lncRNA